UCGGAUAUGGUGUAACGGCUAACAUUAUCGCCUUUCAUAUACGUAGCCGACGGCUUGCGCGGUAGCUCGGGGUUCGAUUCCCCGUAUCCGAA